ACUCUGGGGCGCAGGGCAGAGAGGAAAGGCAGGCAGGGCUCACGGCUGCUCCCCCAGGACCGGGCAAGGCUCGGGAAACAGAGACACAAGACAAAAUAAAACGCAGGCACCACAAAGCCGACAGCACGCGCUAGCCACGGCCCCGGGACCCUCAGGCUGGAGUCCAGCUGCCCGGGAGGUGGGGCGCGCCCGGGCGCCCGGGGCGUACCUUUUCGGUGCAUCGACGGACAGGCGGCCGGGGCUCGGAGCGAACUGGUACAGCGUGUAUCCCAUUUAGUAAUCCAUUAUCGAGGGGAUCUCUCCGGGCCGCGGGCUGCGCUCUCUCCUUCGCAAGCCUUUGUCAUUCCUACAUGUGUGCUUGUCUCUUUGGGGGAAAUAGUCGCGGCGACUACUUUCUGGGAUGCAAACGCGAUGUGUUCAUCUCCAAUGACGAGCGGAGAAGGGGAGAGGAAAAAAGAAGCCAAAAAAAAAAAGAAGAAAAAGAAAAAGAAAACCAACAAGGAAGAGGGUAAAUGUUCAAGAAACUCUUCUCCAAAUCCAAAUUCCACUUGGAUUCCACUUCGGGAGGAAAGUCCAUGUGAAGACACAGUGAGAAGGCAAGAAGGCAUCCAUCUGCAAGUCAGGAAAAGAGCCCUCAUCAGAAACCAAAUGUUGUGAGAACUUGAUCUUGGACUUCCCAGCCUCCAGAACUGUGAGAAAAUUAAUUUAUGUUGUCUAAGCCACACAGUCUGUAGUAUACUGUUAUGGCAGCCUGAGCAGAUUAUGACAGAUGUCAAAGAGAACUUCAGCCUUAGCUGAUAUGUUAGCUGUAAUCUUUUAAUGUUUUAGAAUGAGAGUGUAUGUAUGUAUUACUCAUGUGACUAAAACAUUAACUUUUUAAAGUCAACUUUGUCUUCCCUCUUGCCCCAUAACCAUGCUUUUCCCCUUUAUCUUCCUUUGAACAAUAUUAAUUAAGGCCUGUUGCAGACAUAUGCAUUCUGAGCCUUCCAACAAAAUUUUUCAAAAAGACCUCUCUUCAGGUCAGAGUCCCUGAAAAUAAAUCUUCUCACCACAGAACUCAGGGGUGUGUUUAUUUAUUUUUGUUUAAUAAAAUAUUUAUUGAACUUUUAUUGAAGUUCAAUUAACUUUAUUUAUUAUAAAACAAUAUUAUACUGAUAUUGUCAGAAAUUUAAAGACAAGACAAUAUCCUCAUCACCCCUGCACUGGAAACACUGACCUGAUUUCUAUUUUUAGGUGUUACUUUCUGGGCUAUCUAUACGCUUAGCUUUUUUUUGGUAGUCAUCAAAUGGUUUACAUAAUUUUGUACAUAACUUUUUUCACUUAGCAUAAAACCUUUAUAGUUGCCAUUUUAAUGGCUACUUAACAUUUUAUUCAGUUUUAAUUGACUUAUCUAUUCCCCAGUGGUCGACAUCUAGGCCAUUUGCAACUUGUUAUUAUAGAUAAUGUUGAAUAAACAUUUUCAUA
rnacentral:lncRNA from 1 species